rnacentral:rRNA from 1 species
UACGUAGGGGGCAAGCGUUGUCCGGAUUUAUUGGGCGUAAAGAGCGUGUAGGCGGUCAGGUAGGUCCGUUGUGAAAACUCGAGGCUCAACCUCGAGACGCCGAUGGAAACCAUCUGACUAGAGUCCGGAAGAGGAGAGUGGAAUUCCUGGUGUAGCGGUGAAAUGCGCAGAUAUCAGGAGGAACACCGAUUGCGAAGGCAGCUCGCUGGGACGUUACUGACGCUGAGACGCGAAAGCGUGGGGAGCAAACAGG